UACAGAGGGGGCAAGCGUUGUUCGGAAUUACUGGGCGUAAAGGGCGCGUAGGCGGCCUUCUAAGUCGAACGUGAAAUCCCCGGGCUCAACCCGGGAACUGCGUCCGAUACUGGAAGGCUUGAAUUCGGGAGAGGGAUGCGGAAUUCCAGGUGUAGCGGUGAAAUGCGUAGAUAUCUGGAGGAACACCGGUGGCGAAGGCGGCAUCCUGGACCGAUAUUGACGCUGAGGAGCGAAAGCCAGGGGAGCAAACGGG
rnacentral:rRNA from 1 species